AAGUAGGAAAACAUUAAACUCAAGUCUGAACAGUUGCUUCUGUUUGCUAGUACUAUGAAAAAAACGUCGCUAUCGGAGAGGUUUAAAUGCUAAAACAAACUCUGGAGCUGCUUCUUUGUCGAACAGGAGUGAGGCUGGACGCUGAACACACCUGUGGCGCAAAGGUUUACUCGUUCAGCUGCUGCAGCCUGACCAGAAAUACCAGCUCUCAUCUUACAAACCAAUCAGGUGUCACCACUUCAUCCACGAUUGCAGAGUCUUUGUACAAUGAAGUUCUUUGAAACCAGGACAGAGGCCUCCAGGAUUCAAAUUUUAACCAUUAAAUGAAGGGAAGAGACAGACGUGGAGACAUUUCCAGAAGGUCAGUGUUAGUUUAUUCUUUUCAGUCUGACUCUGUCAUUAUCUCAACUGCAGUUUGACUCUUUAA